rnacentral:rRNA from 1 species
AUUGAACGCUGGCGGCAUGCCUUACACAUGCAAGUCGAACGGCAGCGGGGGAGAAGCUUGCUUUUCCUGCCGGCGAGUGGCGAACGGGUGAGUAAUACAUCGGAACGUGCCCUGUAGUGGGGGAUAACUAGUCGAAAGAUUAGCUAAUACCGCAUCCGACCUGAGGGUGAAAGUGGGGGACCGCAAGGCCUCAUGCUAUAGGAGCGGCCGAUGUCUGAUUAGCUAGUGGGUGGGGUAAAGGCCUACCAAGGCGACGAUCAGUAGCUGGUCUGAGAGGACGAUCAGCCACACUGGGACUGAGACACGGCCCAGACUCCUACGGGAGGCAGCAGUGGGGAAUUUUGGACAAUGGGCGAAAGCCUGAUCCAGCAAUGCCGCGUGUGUGAAGAAGGCCUUCGGGUUGUAAAGCACUUUUGUCCGGAAAGAAAUGGCUCUGGUUAAUACCUGGGGUCGAUGACGGUACCGGAAGAAUAAGGACCGGCUAACUACGUGCCAGCCGCCGCAGUAA